UUACAUAACUCUAAACUACACACUGUCAGAAUCAAAUAGUUACUGUUAUAUGAUCUAACUUCAUUGCAUUUUUAUGGUGCACGUACGCGGGAAAGACACAUCUAGAGGUACCAUCCACAUCUAGAGGUACCAUCCGAAGUUGCUUGCAUCUGUUGAAUCUUGCAUGGAGCGCAACAGUAGAUAAAUCAGACGUUACAGAAGACAGACUCAAGGAAGCACAAUAUCGAAACAAAUCUGUUUCUUUUCUAGGAUAUGUGAUUUCUGUAUUGGGGUCAGAACAAUUCUCCAAUCUAUACCGAAACAGCAAGCUGAAUCUUCUACUCCAAGACGCAUUAGGUUGUCAAGCCAAAACACUGAUCUUUGCUCACUUGAGUCCUGAGGAAUACUUUUGGAUAAACAAUCAGUACUUUAAAAUUUGCACAAAGAGUUUCCACAGUAGAACUUGGCACUGCUUAUGCACACAAAGCGACUAGAGAGUUAUGCAUCCCAAGUGGCAGGUUUGUAACCAGUAGCCAGUUAAUUAUAGAUAUUGUGAGCCAACAAUCAUUUUCCAGGACAACUUUGAAGGCAUAUAAACUCUGUCUGGAUGACCACUCUGCAUCACACAUUGGUAUUCCAAAGUUUAGGGAUACAUACGUACAGUUCAUACAUACCCACUAGAAAUGCUCGGAGGCAACUGAAGUUUUCUUGGAACUUGGUCGAACAAAGGGUUCGUGUCAAUCAAGGAAUUUGAUCUUUGCAUCUUUGUAGUGCCCAUGUCUUCAUGAUGUUUCAGACAAACAUUACAUAAACUUUAUGAAACAAUUACACUUAUAAACACUUUUUGACUUUGUAAUUUCACAAUAAGACACUUCUUGCUUUAGACACA